CGUGAGUAACCUGCCUUGGAGUGGGGAAUAACACAGUGAAAACUGUGCUAAUACCGCAUAAUGCAUUUGGGUCGCAUGAUUCUGAAUGCCAAAGAUUUAUUGCUCUGAGAUGGACUCGCGUCUGAUUAGCUAGUUGGCGGGGUAACGGCCCACCAAGGCGACGAUCAGUAGCCGGACUGAGAGGUUGGCCGGCCACAUUGGGACUGAGACACGGCCCAG
rnacentral:rRNA from 1 species